rnacentral:rRNA from 1 species
GAUGAACGCUGGCGGCGUGCCUAACACAUGCAAGUCGAACGGAGUUACUUUGGUGAAGUUUUCGGAUGGAUCUGAUUUAACUUAGUGGCGGACGGGUGAGUAAUGCGUGAGCAACCUGCCCUUCAGAGGGGGACAACAGUUGGAAACGACUGCUAAUACCGCAUAAUGUAUCCGGGAGGCAUCUCCUGGAUACCAAAGGAGAAAUCCGCUGAUGGAUGGGCUCACGUCUGAUUAGCUAGUUGGUGAGGUAACGGCCCACCAAGGCGACGAUCGGUAGCCGGACUGAGAGGUUGAACGGCCACAUUGGGACUGAGACACGGCCCAGACUCCUACGGGAGGCAGCAGUGGGGAAUAUUGCACAAUGGGGGAAACCCUGAUGCAGCGACGCCGCGUGGAGGAAGAAGGUCUUCGGAUUGUAAACUCCUGUUGUUGAGGAAGAUAAUGACGGUACUCA